UGGCUUAGAUGGUAAAAGAAUCUACCUGCAAUGUAGAAGAUCCAGGUUCAGUCCCUGG
rnacentral:tRNA from 1 species